UGUGCUAAAGAUUUGAUAUGACGAAGAAUCUUGAAAAGUUUUUGGAUUUUGGGUGGAAUAGAUCCAAUUUUUUUUUUUUGGAUUUUGAGACUGUAGCACUUUCAUUUUUAUUUGACAAACAUUGUCUAAUUAUGGAGUAACUAGGCUUAAAAGAUUCAUCUCACGAUUUACAAGCAAACUAUGCAAUUAGUUUUUGUUUUCAUCUAUAUUUAAUACUACAUGCAUGUGCCAUAGUAUUUGAUGUGACGGGAAAUCUAGAAAAGUUUUUUUUGUUUUUGGGUGAACUAAACAAGGCCAAAGUUAAAAACUAUGUCUACACGAGAUCCAAAAUAUGAACUAAUAUAAUUGGUUGAGAAUGGAGAGAGAACGAAUAUGAUCGAAUAAAAAAAUUUUCUAUAAAAACCAUAUAUUGGGACCAUAGUUUCUAUAUAUAGUGUCUAUAAAAAUUAAUAGACGUAGACAGUAUAUGUAGUUUUUAGCAUCGGGACUGCCGUAGAGUAGGAGAUGGUAAAACUAUUUUUUUCUUUUUUUUGUCAUUGGACCUAUUUGGUGUUUGGAUCUUUAGUAUUAAAAAAUUAGUAUUAUAUCUGGCUCUAUGUGGCACGGCUCCAACUUCAGUAGUGAAGUUUUUGAGAGGCUUUAGCUUCAUAAAAAAACUUUAUUAGUAGAGUUAGAGCCGCUUUGAUAAAUCGUUUGGUAAAAUAGUUCAUUCUUUGAAAUAUGCUCUCAUAAAACGGCACAAGCCACUAUUUUUGGCUCCGUGACACCUCAAAGCUAUGUGAGAGCAUAUUUUUAGAGACUUUAUCUGGUGUAGCCAUUUCAAUUUAUCAUGUUUGGCAUAAAAUGGCUUCAAAUAGCUCGUAAAACCUCUAGAAAAACCCUGCCAAACAAGAUCGACAUUAAUUAGAAUAAUUAAACGUGAACUAGUUUUAAAACUAAUUAUGUAAAUGAUGAUUAAUUAACGAGACGAAUCUGUUAUCCUAAUCUCAUGGGAACUGGAGAAUCGUUUUUACCGGCUCAUGUUGACUCUGUAAUAGGAAGAUAAAAGAGAUAUAACCAGCUCCCAUAAAUUGUUUUUAAUAACGCCUUGUUUAAUUUCUUAAAAAUUUUAUAAAAUUUUAUAAAUUUUUUGUCACAUCAAAUCUUACAAUAUAUGCAUGAAGCCAUAGAGCAUUAAAUAUAAUUAAAAAAUAACUAAUUAUAUAAUCUGUCUAUAAUCGGUGAGACGAUUUUUUUUAACCUAGAUACUCUACAGUGUUGAUUUUACGGUGUUAAUUUUGCAAAAGAAAAAUUUACAUCGCAUUCUCCACCUCCCGGAUAACACGCUUGAACACUGAGUCCUGAAUUGACUGCCUUGUUUAGUUCUUCAAAAAUUUUGCAAAAUUUUUCAGAUUCGUCGUCACAUCAAAUCUUUAGACGUAUGCAUGGAGUAUUAAAUAUAGAUGAAAAUAAAAACUAAUUGCACAGUUUGGUCGGAAUUGACGAGACGAAUCUUUUGAUCCUAGUUAGUCCAUAAUUGGACAAUAUUUGCAAAAUAUUUUGGAACUAAACAAGGCCUGAUAUGCAGUUUUUCUAGUGUUUUAGCAUUCAAAAUUUAGUAUAAACGUUUCCUAAUAAAUGCUUCCUAAUGAGGAUUUCCUAGUAUUUUGACUAAUGGUAGUAUUUUAUUACUAACUAAAAACACUAGGAAAACUUCAUCAUUUUAGUAGUGUCGGUA
rnacentral:lncRNA from 1 species